CCGCCAAAAGCACAGCAGAAAAAGCAAAGCUCAGGGGAAAAGGUAAGCUUUGCGCGUAUGAUUUUCAUUCAUGAAGUGGCACUGGGGAGGGGACCUGGGCAGGGCAGGACAGGGCAUUCAUUCGCUUCGUUUACCGUUAUGCAGUGGACAAUUAAACACUCGAAAGAUGGAAUGCAAAACGAGAAUCGUGAAGCCCACGGACACUCGAUGUUGUCAAUUGCGACCAUCAGCGGACAACGGAGAGUGUGUGGUGUUGGUUGCGGAAAAGAGCUGGCCUGCUGUCUGGGGGCUCUCUUCACACGCCAGUUUCGUGCGUUGACAACUUUAUUAAGCCUAAAUGGGCUCCUUGGUGGGAUGGGUGAGGGGGAGAGAAAAGGAGUGCGGCGAGGAGUGGAGCGGGGUGGAAAAGAGCUAUCAAAGUGGACGUGGUCUCACUCCAGCGGGGUGCUUUAUAGUUUCUUGACCGACGAUGACGAUCGAUGAUUUAUUUGUAUUUCGCUUAUUCCGAGAUCUUUUGAUUAAUUACUGUGAUAUUCAAAUAUUCAAGUGUGUUCAGCAUAUACUCAUAUACAUUUACAUAAAUGUAUACUCACUCUGUAUUUUCUGUAUAUUCUGUAUUUUCCAAAAGAGAUGAUUCCCGCGUUGAGUUCUCGGGCCGAGUGGCAAUAUUUUACGCUUUGUUCACGACACAUGUCCAGAAUGGUUUUUAUUUGCCCAGAGAUUAGCGCCCUGUUCCACAGAUCCGAAUGGUCGUCGUAUCUAGAAGAUGAAUUAAUUAGUGCUGGGUCUUAAUGACUAGUGAUUGAUGAGUGGGUGUGGCCUUAAUAGGGAGCGCGGCAGCGAGGGGGGGACUAGGGUCACUGCUUUGCCAGCGUACAGUAGCCAGUCAAAACUGGAAUAUCAUCUGCCGACUCUAACCAUAUUUUCAUAUUUGCCUGGGCACGUAGGAAAACAUCUCAAGAAUGUUUGGGCGAUCUGGUUUCACUUGUUUCCACUUCCACUACCAGCACAAAGCUCCCCCCAAGUACUCGUACUCGUACUCGUACUCGCACCUUGUUUCCGAUUCAUACGAAAGAGUCUAGAACACAAACUUGCUCUCGUUCGCUCUCUCGAUCUCUCUCUCCCUCUCUCUCUUUGGUUUGGGCUUUCGAAAUGCCGGCUACUUGUUAGCAAGGUGUAUUAAUACACGGUGAGGCUCUCUUGAGCCGAGUGAGGGGGAAUUUCUCACCUUACGUACACCUAUGCACCUUGCUUGCUACCUUCGGCACAUUCGGCACUUGUUUACCUGCCCUCGGCUCAUUAAGCUCUCGCUCUCUCGGUCUCCGUUCUCUUUGUGUGAGCUUUGCCAGAGAUCGUGCUGAGCCCCAUCAACGGCUGUAGUGGCUCCCAGCUUCAGUCGCUCCUCAGACGUGACCGCGACCGCUCAUUGCCGAUCCACCAAAACGAAACUGCGUCGCGUUCGAGCCUAGUAAACAGAGCCCACAAGCAAACAACGAACUGGCCAGCGCCCAUUUGCCAAGAUCCCAACACCCCACUGAAGAGGAUUCCGGAUUCCGGACUCCAUCUUCCACGACAAACCCUGACUCCCCCCACAACAACCAAAAGCUGGCUUUUGGUGGCGAUCACUGAUUCGACCCGACCAUCGGCACGUCCAUUCAACCGCUCUCGAGUCUCGAUUCGACAACAACCCACACAAAUCGACGACUUUGUGCGCAUUGCAAAAAAGCUAAAGCUGAGGCAAAAACUCAAAUACAAAUACAAAUCGUGAUAAAUGUUCGCUUAAAUUGUGCAAACGUUAUUCGAUGAAUUGUGUUUCGGCCAAAGACCAUUUCGGUAUCGACUAAUUAAAAUUUGACGUGCAUCCGCAAACUCCGAAAACAAAAACUCCGCGACGACACCUGGCAAGUGAAACACAUAUGUAUACUCAUUUGUGUGCCACCUAACGAGUGAGUUGUUGAUACAUCAUCGCGACAAUAACCCCAAGCCCCCACACCCCCACCUUCCGCCCCCAAACAAACAAAUAAGUAAUUAGAACUGCGCAAAUUACUUGAACUGAAAAAAACCAACACGAACACACACAUAGGCGGAAUGCUGUUUUGAGGCAAGCGUCCCAGCGAAUACGAAUCCAGCCCGGUCCAGAGCUACCACCAACUGCCGCCGGACAUCGAUCCAGCGGACAUUCGGAAGGA
rnacentral:misc_RNA from 1 species